CUGUGUUUGUCUCUUAAAAUCAGUCAGUACCACUGACUGGAUGCUUGUCCUUUUUGGAAUGUGACUGUAGCCAUAAUGUUUGGAUUGUGUGUCUCACAUUGUUGUGGUUUUGGCGGCACUUUACUCUUAACAACUCAUUAAGCAGCACCGUGGGGCAGCACAAUUGGAAGCAGAGACGUUCAGGUGGAAUAUCAGCCAACUUGUCAGAUGGUCUGAGUUCUUCGGGGAGACAAGACAGCUCAAAAACUGCUGGAUGGAUUUCAUUCAAACCAGGAUACCAAAACAGUGAAGCCAGGAGACUAAGUGUUUAUCAAGGUCAUAAAAAGGAAAAACUGCUCCAGCCCAUGGUGGGAAGGCCCGUUCCAAGUAUUGCUGACCACACCAACAGCCGUGAAGAUCGCUGAGAGACCGUCAUGGAUACAUCUAAGUCACUGUAAGCUGCAGCGUGUGCCUAUAACCACAAACGAGUAAAGGGGAAGUCUGACUACAAAGGGGAUUCACCGUAUAGUGUUGUCUCGUCUCAACGUCAGUGAAGCAGGGAGAUCCUUACUCACUUAGAGUGGCUUAUAGGUGACGCUGUGGCCUAGCACCAAUGGCUGAUCCGCAGAAUACACCCAACCCACGUGCCAGGCGCCGUGGCUGUGGGUGAGUCUGGCAGGCAGUCUGAUUUGUUGUGAUCUUAGCAUGUUUUUGUCUACUGUGGCAGAUGUGGGAACGACCUCCCCCGUCUGAAACUGAUCUCGAUGAAUCAACCCCGUUCACCCUCUCACCCAAAAAGAAAAAUGAUACAUCAACCACCCUGACGAACCACAACACCCUUACCAUACCAACAUGUGGUGGCGCUACGUGAAUUACACUUCACAUCUAGCGAACCAUACCAACUGUUAUGUCUGUACAUAUAUUCCUGUUUCCACCACACAUAAUGGUCUACAUGCUACUCCAAUGUCUCGAGCAAAUACCAGUUGUUUGAUGGGCCUGUCAACCUACCCAGGAAAUUAUUCUGUACCUCUGAACAAAACCACUGCGUCUCCCUUGGUGGGAAACUGUACCGGUUCCAGUUUACCCCCAGGUGCAGGACCCCUUACUGAUAACUGAUAUAACGCCUUAUCAUAGCUUUGACUAUUGCAUAAUUGGGAAUGGCUCAAACCUGCUUGGGUGGCUUUCACCUCACUCCUGCAAUUUUACUUACACCUUCUGCAAUUAUGUAAAUCGAACAGCAAAAAAUGAAUGCAACAGAAAUAAAACCUGUAAACAGGAUAAGACCCAAUGGAACAAGGCUCGCCUCGUCAGGGACGCAGACCAUUUCUGGUGUAACACCACCCAGGCCCCUUACGUUAAGCGCUGUUCCUGUGCAGCCAUAGCGCCAACCCAGAAGGGCACUAGAGUCCUCACUGAUUACUAUUGGCUAUGCGGGACCAACGUUUACGCUCACCUUCCUCUCAAUUGGAGUGUAAGAUGUGGAAUGAUUUAUUUACACAAGACAGUAGUACAUAUUACUAAAGACCAAUGGUCCGAAGCCACUGUCAAGUUCCAUGAACCACAUAAUGUUCCCGUUAAACGAGAACUGUCUGAUACCAGCCAUAUUCCUAGUGAUAAAAGAAUAUUCCAUCAGGGAUGGAGGUGCACUAUUCGGCAUGCUUCCGCAUGUUGGGGUCAACCUUGUAGCUCUAGAAAUUGAGUUCACCCGCUGGAAGGUUUUGCAAUUCAUGAACUCCACACUCGAGAUGGCCAAUGCAACCGCGGAAGAAAUUAGGGCCCUGCGACUGAUGGUACUGCAAAACCGUAUGGUUCUUGAUCAGCUGACCGCACCCUCCGGUGGAGUGUGUGCUUUGGUGGGUACAGCGUGCUGCACCUUUAUCCCGGACAACACAGCUGACGGAGGUGCCAUCACCUGAGCCCUACAAGAGAUGACAGAGGUCCGUGACUCUGUCCAAGCAACAAUGUCAUCACCUAACUGGAGCUUCUGGUCAUGGUUUACAUCAGGAAGUUGGUGGCAACUUCUACUACAAGCUUUGACCCCUCUAUUGAUCAUUGUUGCAGUUUUUGCACUCUUACGUUGCUGCAUAGUGCCUUGCCUCCGUUCCAUGAUUGUAAAAUUAGUCUCCAACGCCUUUGUCCGAUGUAAUGUCGUACAGCGAGACCUCCAUCGAGAAACUACCCAUUUCCAACCAUUGUCGACCGAUGAUUUUGAGCACGAACCAGAAUAUGAUGUCCGCCAAUCGCCAUAUGCCGAUGCCCGGCCGUGUCAACCACCUGAUUACGAGGUCGAUAUUCCUGAGCGUUCUGACACCGCCCUGUAAGCAAUAAGACACCACAUAACGAUUUAAAAUCUUUAUUAUUGGUUCACUGUCAUUUUGUCCUCCUGUUUUUGGUUACUAUAUUCAUCUCCGCAUUCGUCUAUGAUGUUACAACUGAAAAUGUUCUUAACAAGUGGUUGUGAUUAAUGUAUUGGAUGUGGUUGAGAUGUAAUAAAUGAUAAACAGGAGGGAUAUGUUAGAUAAAAUGUACUGUACAAACAUGUUAUCAUUUAUUACAUCUGGUCUUUUAUAUUGUUCCGUUUGCAUCUUAAAUUCUGCAAACUGUUUCUCUCAGAUAUUCCCAGAUAGAUAGCACAGCUGCAGGUCAGCCUGUUUGCGGUUUGACAUUUAGCAAGCUUCAGCAAAACCGCUCACUGUACCUAAGAUCAGAAUGUUUCAGUUGAUUGCAUACGUAUCUGCACAUGACUAAUAGCACAUGUUGUAACCACACGCCUGUGGACUCAUGUA